AGUGAACGCUGGCGGUAGGCCUAACACAUGCAAGUCGAACGGCAGCACAGUAAGAGCUUGCUCUUACGGGUGGCGAGUGGCGGACGGGUGAGGAAUACAUCGUACUCUACUUUUUCGUGGGGGAUAACGUAGGGAAACUUACGCUAAUACCGCAUACGACCUACGGGUGAAAGCAGGGGAUCUUCGGACCUUGCGCGAUUGAAUGAGCCGAUGUCGGAUUAGCUAGUUGGCGGGGUAAAGGCCCACCAAGGCGACGAUCCGUAGCUGGUCUGAGAGGAUGAUAAGCCACACUGGAACGGAGACACGGUCCAGACUCCUACGGGAGGCAGCAGUGGGGAAUAUUGGACAAUGGGCGCAAGCCUGAUCCAGCCAUACCGCGUGGGUGAAGAAGGCCUUCGGGUUGUAAAGCCCUUUUGUUGGGAAAGAAAAGCAGCAGGUUAAUACCCCGCUGUUCUGACGGUACCCAAAGAAUAAGCACCGGCUAACUUCGUG
rnacentral:rRNA from 1 species